CAGGCGCUGAGUGACUAGUUUCCUGUCUGUCAUUUUACCAGUAACUGAGUAACGUCACAUUUCCCUCUAAGUUGUAGUGUACCAACAGUGUUGAAGUUGACCCCAGACACACAUCCAGAACUCACAGAAGACGGCGCUCAACAAAACCCACGGUUAGCCAUGGUACCAUGCCUGUUAUUUACAUUGCUCCAGGUCGGGGAGGUGGCGCUGCAUGCGUUUGGACCCACAGAGAUAGGGCUGGAUGAAACACAUUAUCAGGACUACCAGGACUGUGAGGGUGAUGAGGAUAACUUGACUGACAAGGAAAGGCUCUGCAGCUCAGAAACUUUGAAGACCAGCUGUCUUAUCUACCCAAACAAUCAGAUCGCAUGCUCUUGGGAGUCGAAUGAUACUCCUAAUGACACCAAAAGCAAUGCUUCCAUCUGCUUGUCUGAGAUGAGGGAGUGUGUCUUGACGGUCAUGGAAUGCCAACAAGGGGCUGAUAUGGUUGACGCUGGGGUUGGAAAUGUGUCUGCCAAGUUCCAAGUGGAUGAUUUCCACAGUGUGAUCCUGACUGUCAAUGUGUCACACGAUGACACCUGGUGCAACCACACCAGUUAUCACGAAGCGCUAGACAUUAAGCAACUGAGUCCACCCUCCAACGUCACUGCCUGGGUAACAGGGACAGACCUGUUUGUGCAUUGGGAUCACCCGCACAACAUUAUUUCCAAAGCCUUUCGUUGCCUUAACUACCAGCUUGACAUCAAUAACCAGGAGAAAGACUUAACAGGGGCUCAAAAUAUGACUCACAGUGAGAGCGUGGACCCCACACAAUCACACAAUGUGAAGGUGAGGGUAAAGUACAGCGAUGAUUGCAGAGGAUCUACAAACUGGAGCAACUGGAGCAAUACCAUCACAGUGGCACCACUCAAUCAAUCUCUGGAAGUCGCAGGUAUCACUCUGAGAAUCGCAGGAAUCACUCUGGGGAUACCCAUGAUCCUCCUGGCACUAAUGCUGCUUAUCCGACUACAGAGGGAUCGUCUUUUCCCCCCCAUCCCUGGUCCCCCACUGAAGAUUAAACAACUAUUGGAGAGAGACCACCGAUUUCAGUUUGCCCCUCAAGUGCAGUUGUCCAAAUGUGUUGAGGAGAUCACAGUGGUGGAAGAAGCUGAGGAAAUACCUGACAUAUUAACAAAAUUACCCAUUUAAAGACCUAACUAAAGUCCAAUCAUCCUAAACCCCUUGUUUAAGGAUCUAUAAGAAGGAUCUCCAGGGCGGAAGAUGCAGCCAUAAUAGUUUGUUAGGACCUACGCAAUUGUUUCAAAUCUUAAGAAAAAGGUGGAUUAUCAGACUGUAGAAAUCCAUACACCUUUCAUGACAGAUUUAUAAAGUCUGCUGUGCUUCAUAAAUUACCCAUAACAAUUAUUUCCUUCACUUUUAGAUCUCCAUUAAGCUGUAUGGGGGAAAACACAGAAUUACUUAACUAGCCCAAGUUGGAGACAUUAUACAUUUUUUCUUGCUGUCUUUUGAAACAGCAUAUGCCCAUAUCAGUGUGUGCUGUGGGCUGUUUCUAAGCUGUGUAGCUGUUAACAGUGAUUCUAGUGAUACUGGUGGAGAUGGAACAGCUUUACCAGAAACCUUAAUUGAAUCCCAAACUGGGAGUGGGAUGUCAUGAUCAGAAUUAAUCCAGUGGUCAUUAGCUUGUUUCCAGGGAUGGUAUAGGUCCCAGAGUGCUGUGAUCCAGUAACCUUACCAGGUUAAAUACUGUACAAUUUACAGUGUCGUUAAAAGUUCAAAUAUUGGCUAAGAUGAGACCAGAGUUUUUCAAAUCUAUUAAAAACAUGAUUAAUGAAGAAAACUAGAAAAAAUACCUCUUACCUUAGGGAGGAUACAAAUUAUUUAUAAUUGUGGCAGCCUUAUGUUAAUUAUAUAUCACAGAUGGGGGGUUUCAAAUAGGCUACACAUCCAUUAUUGGGACGUAAAUCUCAAAAGCAUUUAUGCAGGUUUGCAUUA
ensembl:lncRNA